rnacentral:rRNA from 1 species
UACGAAGGGGGCGAGCGUUGUUCGGAAUCACUGGGCUUAAAGCGUGCGUAGGUGGGCAGGAUAGUCAGAAGUGAAAUCCCGGGGCUUAACCCCGGAACUGCUUUUGAAACUUCCUGUCUGGAAUUCGGUAGAGGCUAAUGGAAUACCCAGUGUAGAGGUGAAAUUCGCAGAUAUUGGGUGGAACACCAGUGGCGAAGGCGAUUAGCUGGGCCGAUAUUGACACUGAGGCACGAAAGCGUGGGUAGCAAACAGG